UACGUAGGGUGCAAGCGUUGUCCGGAAUUAUUGGGCGUAAAGAGCUCGUAGGCGGUUUGUCGCGUCUGCUGUGAAAACUCGGGGCUUAACUCCGGGCCUGCAGUGGGUACGGGCAGACUAGAGUGCGGUAGGGGAGACUGGAAUUCCUGGUGUAGCGGUGAAAUGCGCAGAUAUCAGGAGGAACACCGGUGGCGAAGGCAGCACUCUGGGACGUGACUGACGCUGAGACGCGAAAGCGUGGGGAGCAAACAGG
rnacentral:rRNA from 1 species